CUACGGGACGCUGCAGGCGAGAAAACUUUGCAAUGUGCGAAAGCACGACAAGGUUAAUCCGAGUGGUUUCUGCUAAAGGAACCUUUUGUCGGUCCUAGAAACACCGAUGAAUAAGGGGUGGGCAAGUUCUGGUGUCAGCCGCCGCGGUAAAACCAGCACCUCAAGUGGUCAGGAUGAUUAUUGGGCCUAAAGCAUCCGUAGCCGGCUCUGUAAGUUUUCGGUUAAAUCUGUACGCUCAACGUACAGGCUGCCGGGAAUACUGCAGAGCUAGGGAGUGGGAGAGGUAGACGGUACUCGGUAGGAAGGGGUAAAAUCCUUUGAUCUAUUGAUGACCACCUGUGGCGAAGGCGGUCUACCAGAACACGUCCGACGGUGAGGGAUGAAAGCUGGGGGAGCAAACCGGAUUAGAUACCCGAGUAGUC
rnacentral:rRNA from 1 species